GACGAACGCUGGCGGCGUGCCUAACACAUGCAAGUCGAACGGAGAGGACAUGAAGUAUUUCGGUACGGAAUGCUCUCUUAGUGGCGAGCGGGUGAGUAACACGUGGGCAACCUGCCCCAGACUGGGGGAUAACAUUGUGAAAACAGUGCUAAUACCGCAUGACAGGGUUCCGGGCAUCCGGGACCCUUGAAAGGAGAAAUCCGGUCAGGGAUGGGCCCGCGGUCCAAUUAGCUAGUUGGCGGGGUAACGGCCCACCAAGGCGACGAUUGGUAGCCGAACUGAGAGGUUGAUCGGCCACAUUGGGACUGAGACACGGCCCAGACUCCUACGGGAGGCAGCAGUGGGGAAUAUUGGGCAAUGGGCGAAAGCCUGACCCAGCGACGCCGCGUGAGGAUGAAGGUCUUCGGAUUGGUAAACUUCUUUGAUCAGGGAAGAAAGAAAUGAACGGUACCUGAAAACAAGCCACGGCUAACUACGUG
rnacentral:rRNA from 1 species